CCCGACUUUAUGGAAGGGUGGUAUUUAUUAGACUGAAGCCAAUAUUCCUUGUGUCUAUUGCGGUGAUUCAUAAUAACUGAUCGAAUCUCUUUUUGAGAUAAAUCAUUCGAGUUUCUGCCCUAUCAGCUUUCGAUGGUAGUGUAUUGGACUACCAUGGCAGUAACGGGUAACGAAGAAUUAGGGUUCGAUUUCGGAGAGGGAGCAUGAGAAACGGCUACCACAUCUAAGUAAGGCAGCAGGCGCGUAAAUUACCCAAUCCUGACUCAGGGAGGUAGUGACAAGAAAUAGCAAACCGGGAACCUCAUGGUUUCACGGUAUUGCAAUGAGAACAAUUUAAAACCCUUAGCGAGAAUCAAGUGGAGGACAAGUCUGGUGCCAGCACCCGCGGUAAUUCCAGCUCCACUAGCGUAUAUUAAAGUUGUUGCAGUUAAAAAGCUCGUAGUUGAACCUCUGUCUGGGGCUAGUUUUGGCUUUGGUCAGGCUAGUUCUAGGCAUCCGCCUACAAGACUUAGAGGGCAUUCAGUUGUUCACUAGGAGGAGUAGGCAUUUUACUUUGAAAAAAUUAGAGUGUUUAAGGCAGGCAAUCGCCCGCAUAUAUUAGCAUGGAAUAAUAGAAUAGGACACUUUUCCAUUUCGUUGGUUAUUGGAAUCGUGUAAUGAUUAAUAGGGACAGUUGUGGGCAUUUGUAUUUAAUUGUCAGAGGUGAAAUUCUUGGAUUUAUUAAAGACAAACUAACGCGAAAGCAUUUGCCAAGGAUGUUUUCAUUAAUCAAGAACGAAAGUUAGGGGAUCAAAGACGAUCAGAUACCGUCCUAGUCUUAACUAUAAACUAUUCCGACUCAAUGUUUGACUGGCUUAUAUAACCAGUUGAGCGUUGUAUGAGAAAUCAAAGUCUUUAGGUUCUGGGGGGAGUAUGGUUGCAAAGCUGAAACUUGAAGGAAUUGACGGAAGAGCACAACCAGGAGUGGAUUCUGCGGCUUAAUUUGACUCAACACGGGGAAACUUACCAGGUUAAAACAAUAGUGGGAUUGACAGUUUGAGAGCGCUUUCUUGAUUGGUUGGGUGGUGGUGCAUGGCCGUUCUUAGUUGGUGGAGUGAUUUGUCUGCUUAAUUGCGUUAACGAACGAGACCUUAACCUGCUUACUAGACUGGCGAUCAUCAAUCGUUAGCUCUUCUUAGAGGGACUUUGGUUGUUUUAACUCCAAGGAAGUUUGAGGCAAUAACAGGUCUGUGAUGCCCUUAGAUAUCCUGGGCCGCACGCGUCAUACAAUGACUAGUUCAGAAAGUUUUCUCCUGACCCGAAAGGGGAUGGGUAAUCUUGAUAAUACUAGUCGUGUUAGGGAUCGAUCUUUGCAAUUAUAGAUCUUGAACGAGGAAUUCCU
rnacentral:rRNA from 1 species